rnacentral:ncRNA from 1 species
AAAGUGGAUAGAUUUGAUUUGAUUGCAACCACACAGAAAAAAUGCUAAAACAAA